UUUUAUGGAGAGUUUGAUCCUGGCUCAGGAUGAACGCUGGCGGCGUGCCUAAUACAUGCAAGUCGAGCGAACAGACGAGGAGCUUGCUCCUCUGACGUUAGCGGCGGACGGGUGAGUAACACGUGGAUAACCUACCUAUACGACUGGGAUAACUUCGGGAAACCGGAGCUAAUACCGGAUAAUAUAUUGAACCGCAUGGUUCAAUAGUGAAAGACGGUUUUGCUGUCACUUAUAGAUGGAUCCGCGCCGCAUUAGCUAGUUGGUAAGGUAACGGCUUACCAAGGCAACGAUGCGUAGCCGACCUGAGAGGGUGAUCGGCCACACUGGAACUGAGACACGGUCCAGACUCCUACGGGAGGCAGCAGUAGGGAAUCUUCCGCAAUGGGCGAAAGCCUGACGGAGCAACGCCGCGUGAGUGAUGAAGGUCUUCGGAUCGUAAAACUCUGUUAUUAGGGAAGAACAAAUGUGUAAGUAACUAUGCACGUCUUGACGGUACCUAAUCAGAAAGCCACGGCUAACUACGUGCCAGCAGCCGCGGUAAUACGUAGGUGGCAAGCGUUAUCCGGAAUUAUUGGGCGUAAAGCGCGCGUAGGCGGUUUUUAAGUCUGAUGUGAAAGCCCACGGCUCAACCGUGGAGGGUCAUUGGAAACUGGAAACUUGAGUGCAGAAGA
rnacentral:rRNA from 1 species